rnacentral:rRNA from 1 species
GUCACGUAGCAAUGCGUGGCGAACGGCUCAGUAACACGUAGUCAACAUGCCCAGGGGACGUGGAUAACCUCGGGAAACUGAGAUUAAACCGCGAUAGGUCAAGAUUUCUGGAAUGGAUUUUGGCUUAAAUCUACAUGGCCCCUGGAUUGGACUGCGGCCGAUCAGGCUGUUGGUGAGGUAAUGGCCCACCAAACCUAUAACCGGUACGGGCUCUGAGAGGAGAAGCCCGGAGAUGGGCACUGAGACAAGGGCCCAGGCCCUAUGGGGCGCAGCAGGCGCGAAACCUCUGCAAUGGGCGAAAGCCUGACAGGGUUACUCUGAGUGAUUUCCGCUAAGGAGAUCUUUUGGCAGCUCUAAAAAUGGUGCAGAAUAAGGGGUGGGCAAGUCUGGUGUCAGCCGCCGCGGUAAUACCAGCACCCCGAGUGGUCGGGACGAUUAUUGGGCCUAAAGCAUCCGUAGCCGGUUGUGCAAGUCCUCCGUUAAAUCCAGCCGCUCAACGGAUGGGCUGCGGAGGAUACUACAGGACUAGGAGGCGGGAGAGGCAAGCGGUACUUAGUGGGUAGGGGUAAAAUCCUUUGAUCCAUUGAAGACCACCAGUGGCGAAGGCGGCUUGCCAGAACGCGCUCGACGGUGAGGGAUGAAAGCUGGGGGAGCAAACCGGAUUAGAUACCCGGGUAGUCCCAGCUGUAAACGAUGCAGACUCGGUGAUGGGCUAGCCUCGUGUCAGCCCAGUGCCGCAGGGAAGCCGUUAAGUCUGCCGCCUGGGGAGUACGGUCGCAAGACUGAAACUUAAAGGAAUUGGCGGGGGAGCACCACAAGGGGUGAAGCCUGCGGUUCAAUUGGAGUCAACGCCGGA